GGACAGUGACGAUUUUGUGAUAGGUCUCGUUCGUCGUAAUUGGCCUAUUUUGGCCUUGCCGACCAUCCUGUUAUAUCACCACCCAUAUUCUGAGUCC